rnacentral:lncRNA from 1 species
UGGGCCCUGCCUACCUAGCAUCGCUUCUGUCAUAUUCUGUUAGCAACACUCUCCAAAGCCCAACCAGUUUCAAGGGGAGGGGAUGUAGACCUCACCUUUCAAUGAGAAGAGUGUCAACGAAUUUGUGGACUUUAUUUCAAAACAGCCACAACAACUAAUUCCUGAUAAAAACUGAAAAUAUGACAUAAUAAGGCUUUAACCACCCCCACGUUUGUUUAUGUGUUUAUGAUCUGUUUCCCACGCUACAAAUUAAGCUUGAUGAGGGUAAAGACUUGGGCAUUUUGCCCACUGCAGUGUCCCUGAGGCCAAGGACAGGGCUGAAGAAUUACACGGUGAUUAGAUCAGAGGAAAUAUCACCGUCUCCCCUCCUCCUGUCUAUUUUAGGCCAAAGCAUCCUUCAACAUCCAGCUCACAGCUCUUCUCCGUGGUCUUCUAAACUCCAGUUUUUCUUUGCCUAUUCACCUGAGGGUCACUUUGUGCUAUACUAAGUUGUCACGUCUUAAAUUACAGCAUCCAGUAUUACCAGUUCAGCUGCUG